UCUCCGUUGGUGAACCAGCGGAGGGAUCAUUACCGAGUUAUACAACUCAUCAACCCUGUGAACAUACCUAAACGUUGCUUCGGCGGGAACAGACGGCCCCGUAACACGGGCCGCCCCCGCCAGAGGACCCCCUAACUCUGUUUCUAUAAUGUUUCUUCUGAGUAAAACAAGCAAAUAAAUUAAAACUUUCAACAACGGAUCUCUUGGCUCUGGCAUCGAUGAAGAACGCAGCGAAAUGCGAUAAGUAAUGUGAAUUGCAGAAUUCAGUGAAUCAUCGAAUCUUUGAACGCACAUUGCGCCCGCCAGUAUUCUGGCGGGCAUGCCUGUUCGAGCGUCAUUACAACCCUCAGGCCCCCGGGCCUGGCGUUGGGGAUCGGCGGAGCCCCCCGCGGGCACACGCCGUCCCCCAAAUACAGUGGCGGUCCCGCCGCAGCUUCCAUUGCGUAGUAGCUAACACCUCGCAACUGGAGAGCGGCGCGGCCACGCCGUAAAACCCCCAACUUCUGAACGUUGACCUCGAAUCAGGUAGGAAUACCCGCUGAACUUAA
rnacentral:rRNA from 1 species